GUCUUCCGGUGACUUUUAUUUUGAAGGUUAAUCUGUUGUGUCGUCUUUCUUCUGUAAGGCAGUAGACCUCUCUAGUUGGAAAUGCGUGGCAUCAGUCUUCUUCAGGUUGACUAUUUAGUUUCUCUUCGACUUCAGGCACUUUAAAACUACACGGCCCAUAUGUUAAGAAUGUAACUGAGCUAUCUGAGGGAAAGCGUACAAGGGCAGCAGCAGAUGUGAUAAGCUAACCUGGCCGAAAAGGUUUGAGAUUCGGAGUAAUACCUUUCGGAAUACAGGGAGUCCAGGAAGUUCGUCUCGAAACCCCAAAAUUGAACAGUAGCUGGGAAUAAGCUUAGCUGGGUGUCGUACUGACUUACUGAAAACAACCUGGAGAGCUCACAGUGUUAAACAUGGCAAAAUGCUAUGUUUAUAACUCAUGACUGAUGGCUUUGUAUAGGAGAGACACUGCUUGUCAAAGGCAGAUUUAGCUAUGUACAGAGGCCAAGUCGCCUCUUGAAUUGCUGAACGGGUUCAACACGCCUUACGGGUGUGUUUGGCCCGGAAACGUUAUUAUUGCCCUGGCUUGAAUCUUCUUGGUAUAUUGGCAUUAGAGAAAUUGCAGAGGGUGAUUAUCUCUCCAAUUCGUCUUGGUUAAACUUUUAAUAAGUAAUGUCUUCUAUAGUGGGAAGAGUGUGGGGGUGGGUGCGCUUCUGGGGUAGUUGUACCUCACAAAAUACCCCAAUGUUGCGUCAAAAGCAGCUUGCUAAAGGUAACUGGGGAUCUUGGAUGUGGGGAGGGUGGAGAAAAGGAAGUGACCAGAGUGCUCUAGGAGAGGAGUACUGGGAGGCACAGGAGAAAUUGCAACCCAUGGAAAUAGAAGAUCUUGGCUCAGGAAAACCAGAGACAGAGCUACAGGUGUCCAGGUGGUGGAGCAAAUAUCUCCCCACAUCAUAUCUGUGGUCAAGAAAAACUGCUAAAAGCAGCCUGAGAGAAAGGAAAGGUGAUGUUGACGGGGACUUUUCUGAUUAUGGAACCCCUCCCCCAUCUCCCACUCCUUCUCAGCUGACCUCUCCAUUCAGAUGUUUCACAGAUAGCUGGAAUUUGGAGAUUAUACCAGAGCACUAUGAAAUUUGCUUCAACUUCCUUCGGCAUUUGUUUGACCUAUUCGUAGUGGCCUUCCUGUGGACUGUGUCCCCUCCUGCCAAACUGAUCCUGGAGGUGUUUGGUGUCCAGGGAGCUCUGAGGCUGUGGUUUCAUGGCAUGGCCAUGUUUUUUGUCUCAACAGCUGGAAUGGCAGGAUUGCUGUGGUUGAUUCAGGAGUAUCUCCCUCAGUUUGCUUUGAUCUAUGGCAUCAUACAAGCAUUGGUGAUCUCUGUUAGUGUACGACAAAGUGUAAUUCUUGGAGUGGAAGAAGAUAAAGAAAAUAUCCAGGAGUUGAAAGAGACUGGUGAAAAGAAAGACACUGCAGACAAUGGAGAUAAGCUUUUUUCUAAGGAACUGCUGAAGACGAGCUUAGCCUAAGUGAGACUUACCAGUCAACUUUCAGUCAUGACUCAUGUGACAAGCAACGUGUGUAGCAGCUGAUGUCUGCCUUCAUGUCAUCAGACAUGAAGACAUUACAGGUGAAGGCCAUAAAAUUAAAAUAUCAUGAAAAAGUUGAUUUAUGUCAGCAGUUCCGGUCAAAAAGUGAAACUUGGAUGUUAGUUACACACAGACUGAUAUAUUUCAAUUGUUUAUUUCUUUUAAUGUUGACGUUUAUAACUCACAACUAAUGAAAAGCCCAAAUUCAGUAUCUCAGAAAAUUAGAAUAUUAAGAAAAAUAGAAAAAAAGGAAUUUUAGAAAUAUUGGCCAACUGAAAAGUAUUAGCAUGUACAGGACUCAGUACUUAGUUGGGGCUCCUUGUCCCUAAAUUACUGCAGCAAUUCAAGGAUUCAAGAAGUUUUUAUCACCUUUGCUUGUUUAGGGUAUGAAAUUCGGACUACACAAAUAAAGAAUAAAGUAAUUUAUGUGAUGUAUGGAUAUGUCUAUUAAAAGAAAGUGUGUGUGUGUGUUGCAAAUAAUUUAUAAGAUGAAGCUGAAUUAGGUGCAGCUUGAGUUCAGCAAUCUGACGGCUGAAGGGAAGAACCUGUUCCUGAGCCUGGUGGUCUUGCUCUGGAUGCUCCUCAGCCUCUGUGUGUGUGUGUGUGUGUGUGUGUGUGUGCUAUUAUAAUAAUAAUAAUAAUAUUGCACACAGACAAUAAGCUGUCUGUGUGCAAGAUGAGUGGAGUCCUUCAUGAGGGCCCUCCUCCUGCAUCGUGCUGUAUAGAGGUCUGAAGUGGAGGGAAGGUGCUCCCCAGUCCUCUGUGCAGCCUU